CAAACUUCCCACUAAAUUACUGUGGAAAAUCAAUCUUCUACAAUCACGAUAAGGUUUUUUCGUACCAUAGCUUUUCAAUUCCAUUAAAGAGGAAUAAUACCAUUAUCAAGUAUUGGUCUUUGUGUUGUGAGUGAGUUUGCAUUGUCAUCAAAAUUCAAGAAGAAUAAACUCUAUUUACAAAAGCAAAGGACUUCUUUAUCACAACUAUUGGCAGCCUGUCUUUUGAUGAGGAUUUCACAAUUCACAGUUG